UCCUAUACCUGGACUGAGUUGGGAGCAUGC
rnacentral:piRNA from 1 species